rnacentral:lncRNA from 1 species
AUGGGCAUGAGGGAUAUCCCUGGGACGCACACAGAAGUGCUGAGGGGAUGUUCAGCUCCUGCAGCAGUGGCUCAGGCGGUGCCUAAGUCCAUGGGGAGCCUCAGGGGUGCCAAGCACUCCACACCAUCCCUGUACAGAGCCUGGCAUGACGGCACAGAGGCCUUGGCCCUGGCUUUGGGGCUGUCCCAACAGGCUCAGGGGAUGGUAGGAGCCCUCUCUGCGACGCGUUUCUGGUGGAAGUGCCAGACUCUUACUCCACAUUUGUCCCCACCGAGGUUACAGCAACCGCUGUGCCUGUGCAUGGCUCAGGAUCAGCCUCCUUCCCACGAGCCAGGGCCCUCUGAUGGACCAGAGCCCAGCACCCAGCUCUGUGCUCCCCUCAGGGAGCAUCACCACCUUGGAAAGCCAGAGCUGAAGCCGUCUGCCCGUGCUCCCCCUCAGUUAUUUCAUGCAGCAGCUGCAGAGCUGAGCCCCGUGCUGGAUUCACAGCCCUGUGUCACCCAGGCAGAGCAGCAGGGACAAACUCCUUCCUCCCCACGCUGGGGGCUGAUGGAGCAGAGGAUGAAGGUGCUCAGUGCUGGGUGUGCCCCGCCCCAGGGGCCCCAGUGCGGGCUGGAGGCCAUACAUGGACUCACGGGGCCAGGAGGGGCUGGGCUCAGUGACAGAGCUCCCACUCAGGCUCCCUGUGCCCCUGGAACCUGGGAAAUGCCCACGUGGAGCCAGCCCUGCAGCCCCAACCAGCACCCAGGGGGUGCCAUCCUGGGGACACUCAGGGGAUCCCAACCCUGGGGACACUCAGGGGAUCCCAUCCCUGGGGACACUCAGGGGCAUCCCAUCCCUGGGGACACUCAUGGGGUUCCCAUCUCUGGGCACACUCAUGCGCAUCACAUCCCUGGGGACACUCAGGGGGUUCCCAUCUCUGGAGCACACGCAGGGGAUCCCAUCCCUGGGGACUCUCAGCGGGUUCCAUCCCUGGGGACACUCAUGGGGUUCCCAUCUCUGGGGACACUCAGGGGUUCCCAUCCCUGGGGACACUCAGGGGGUCCCAUCCCUGGGGACACUCAGGGGGUCCCAACCCUGGGGGCACUCAGGGGGUCCCCUCUCUGGGGAGGGGGGGGGGGGGGGGGGGGGGGGGGGGGGGGGGGGGGGGGGGGGGGGGGGGGGGGGGGGGGGGGGGGGGGGGGGGGGGGGGGCCCCCCAGCCCUGCUGGACCCCCUCCCCACGGGCAGUGGGAUGCGUGUCCCCCCCUGCACCAUGCUGGAAGGAAGUGAGUUAUUCCAAACAACUUUCUCCGGCCGGGAUGGCCCCGGGUUCCCAGCUCUCCUCCCCCUCGCUUCCCCCAGCCCUCCUUCCCCCUCUCCGCCUUAA